UGACCUCAAAUCAGGCAAGAAUACCCGCUGAACUUAAGCAUAUCAAUAAGCGGAGGAAAAGAAACUAACAAGGAUUCCCCUAGUAACGGCGAGUGAAGAGGGAAGAGCUCAAAUUUUAAAUCCGCCUUGUUCGUAAGGCCGAGUUGUAAUUUGAAAGAAGCGUUUUCUUGGGCUCGCUGCCGGUAGAAGUUCUUUGGAACAGGACAUCAUAGAGGGUGACAAUCCCGUCUGUGACCGGUCGCGCGGUUCAUCUACGAUACGCUUUCAAAGAGUCGAGUUGUUUGGGAUUGCAGCUCCAAACGGGUGGUAAACAUCACCUAAGGCUAAAUAUUGGCGAGAGACCGAUAGCGAACAAGUACCGUGAGGGAAAGAUGAAAAGAACUUCGAAAAGAGAGUUAAACAGUACGUGAAAUUGUUGAAAGGGAAACGAUUGAAGUCAGUCGUGCCGGCGCGAAAUCAGCUUGACCGGUAGGAGAUCACAGGCUGUGGCGAGCCUCAAAACCGCCACAACUCGUGCUCUCUUGUCGGCCUCGUGCACUUUCGUGUCGGCUGGUUAACAUCAAUUUCGAUCGUCAUAAAAAGGCUGGAGGGAUGUGGCUCCUUCGGGAGUGUUAUAACCUUUGGCGGAAUGUGGUGGUCGGGAUUGAGGCUUGCAACGAAUACCUUCAGGGCUGCCCCACCUGGCCUCUCGUCGGCAUCCUGGCUACGACAGCUUGCUGACGUUGUUAGGAUCAGCUUUCGAACAGGCUAGAGUGUGGGCAAAUUCGUUAAGGGUGUUAACGUAACGGCUUUAAACGACCCGUCUUGAAACACGGACCAAGGAG
rnacentral:rRNA from 1 species